AUUAUUGGGGCGUAAAGAGNUCGUAGGCGGUUUGUCGCGUCUGCCGUGAAAGUCCGGGGCNUCAACUCCGGAUCUGCGGUGGGUACGGGGCAGGCUAGAGUGAUGUAGGGGAGACUGGAAUUCCUGGUGUAGCGGUGAAAUGCGCAGAUAUCAGGAGGAACACCGAUGGCGAAGGCAGGUCUCUGGGCAUUAACUGACGCUGAGGAGCGAAAGCAUGGGGAGCGAACAGGAUUAGAUACCCUGGUAGUCCAUGCCGUAAACGUUGGGCACUAGGUGUGGGGGACAUUCCACGUUUUCCGCGCCGUAGCUAACGCAUUAAGUGCCCCGCCUGGGGAGUACGGCCGCAAGGCUAAAACUCAAAGGAAUUGACGGGGGCCCGCACAAGCGGCGGAGCAUGCGGAUUAAUUCGAUGCAACGCGAAGAACCUUACCAAGGCUUGACAUGGACCGGACCGCCGCAGAGAUGUGGUUUCUCCUUUUGGGGCCGGUUCACAGGUGGUGCAUGGUUGUCGUCAGCUCGUGUCGUGAGAUGUUGGGUUAAGUCCCGCAACGAGCGCAACCCUCGUUCCAUGUUGCCAGCGCGUAAUGGCGGGGACUCAUGGGAGACUGCCGGGGUCAACUCGGAGGAAGGUGGGGACGACGUCAAAUCAUCAUGCCCCUUAUGUCUUGGGCUUCACGCAUGCUACAAUGGCCGGUACAAAGGGUUGCGAUACUGUGAGGUGGAGCUAAUCCCAAAAAGCCGGUCUCAGUUCGGAUUGGGGUCUGCAACUCGACCCCAUGAAGUCGGAGUCGCUAGUAAUCGCAGAUCAGCAACGCUGCNGGUGAAUACGUUCCCGGGGCCUUGUACACACCGCCCGUCAAGUCACGAAAGUU
rnacentral:rRNA from 1 species